UUAACGGUGUUGUACAUUUCUAAAAUCAAUUGAAUUCAAUUUUAACUGAAACCACAAAGAAAAAAUAUAUUUUUAUAUAAAAGUUGUAUUUUAUUGUGUUGAAGAUUUGAAUGUUGAAUGUUUACACUUUUUACCGCAAAAGAAGUGAAAUUACAAGAUUAAUUUUGUGUCUCAUUUGAAUAACUUAUGCAAAUUCAAAAAAAAAAAAAAUCAGUACACAAAAAUAUUCAAAUUGAAAAUUCACUCUAAAUCGAUUAAAAAAUUAAUAAAAUCACAAGCAAAAGGAAUAUAUGUCGUUUUAAACUUGAUUUUAAAAAUUCGCAUGAUUACUUAAACGAGAAAAAUGGAUUCUGGCAGCGUUGUUAGUGAACCGAUAUCAGCACAUCAUCGUGCUUUUGCUAAACAAAAAUCCGCAUCCAUG